CCUACGGGAGGCAGCAGUGGGGAAUAUUGGACAAUGGGGGGAACCCUGAUCCAGCGACGCCGCGUGAGUGAAGACGUAUCUCGGUAUGUAAAGCUCUAUCAGCAGGGAAGUAAGAAAUGACGGUACUUGACUAAGAAGCCUCGGCUAACUAUGUGCCAGCAGCCGUGGCAAUACGUCGGGGGCAAGCGUUAUCCGGAUUUACUGGGUGUAAAGGGAGCGUAGACGGCGAUGCAAGUCUGAAGUGAAAGGCGGGGGCCCAACCCCCGGGCUGCAUUGGAAACUGUAUGGCUGGAGUGCAGGGGAGGCAGGUGGAAUUCCUAGUGUAGCGGUGAAAUGCGGAGAUAUUAGGAAGAACACCGGUGGCGAAGGCAGCUUACUGGACUGUAACUGACGUUGAGGCUCGAAAGCGUGGGGAGCGAACAGGAUUAGAUACCCGAGUAGUC
rnacentral:rRNA from 1 species